UACGUAGGGGGCAAGCGUUGUCCGGAUUUAUUGGGCGUAAAGAGCGUGUAGGCGGUUCGGUAGGUCCGUUGUGAAAACUCGAGGCUCAACCUCGAGACGCCGAUGGAAACCAUCGAACUAGAGUCCGGAAGAGGAGAGUGGAAUUCCUGGUGUAGCGGUGAGAUGCGCAGAUAUCAGGAGGAACACCAAUGGCGAAGGCAGCUCGCUGGGACGGUACUGACGCUGAGACGCGAAAGCGUGGGGAGCAAACAGG
rnacentral:rRNA from 1 species